UACGUAGGGGGCAAGCGUUGUCCGGAUUUAUUGGGCGUAAAGAGCGUGUAGGCGGCUAGGUAGGUCCGUUGUGAAAACUCGAGGCUCAACCUCGAGACGCCGAUGGAAACCAUCUGGCUAGAGUCCGGAAGAGGAGAGUGGAAUUCCCGGUGUAGCGGUGAAAUGCGCAGAUAUCGGGAAGAACACCCGUGGCUAAGGCGGCUCUCUAGUACGGUACUGACGCUGAGACGCGAAAGCGUGGGGAGCGAACAGG
rnacentral:rRNA from 1 species